rnacentral:tRNA from 1 species
UAUAUUUUAGUGUAAAAUGCACGUGGGAUUUUGAUUUCCAAGGUUUUGGUUUGAUUCCAUAAAGUAUAA